rnacentral:lncRNA from 1 species
AUGAACUUUUUAAUAAUCCAAGGAGGGAGGAAAGCCCUCGGUCCCCUCGGCUCGGGGGGCGCCCAGCCCGGCUCAGCUCGGCGGGCGCGCCCCAUCACCCCCCUCCCACGUCCUCUGCGGACAGCUCUGAGGGGGCGCGCGCACCGCAGGGCCUCCUCCGGUCUCUGCGGCUGGCGUCCGUCUGACUGUCCGAGGCUUUGGAACAGACCGCGAUUCUUCAUUAACGCGCAAAGCGAGAUAGUCAUGGAGUUCCAGAGUGUUCGAUGUUCCUGGAACCUAGCAGGAGCAUCUAAAGGCCUCGCAGCCUCGGCGAUAACACUACUCUCGGCAACGGUGCCCCAUGCGGCCGAAUCCCAGGCCUCUGUUCUGCAGACUUCCAGGAGAUCGCGGAGCACAGAGGAAGCUGCCCUGGCCGUCGGCGCCUAGGCUGGCAGGGCGGGGGUGGGGGGAGCUCCCAACACCACCCGCGAAAGCAGGAGCAGCCGCCACACAGGAGGCCCUUCUGAACACAAGACCUUUCCCCUCACCGCUGGGGUAAGCUGAGUUCAAGCCCGGCUGCCACCAAACGGUUCAAUGCUCGGCGUCCAGACAGGCCCAGUGCUCUGUCUACGCCUAUCCACAGCAGAUCUCCAAGCCUGCGUUCGCUUCGUUCUUAUUGAAAUCCCACUGAAAGGAUUCUGGCUCCGAUUUGGGCAGGGGAAGACUUACACACCCUGCUCUCUCCCCCACCUGCACCCUCGCCACACAGGAUAAAGGGCCGCGGGGCGCUUCGAGCGGGGGGCACAAGCAGGAGCGAGCCGGGUUAAGCCGCGCAAAGCCGGUGCACGGGACCAGCCGGCAGGUGCAACCAGCGACCGGCGGCCCGGCUUGGGCGCAUCGGCCGCCGCGACCCGGGGGUGGGGAACCGCAGAGACAAAGGCUUCAGCUCUGGAGUGGGAGGGGGGCGCGUCGCAGAGCUCUGGAAAGCCAGGGCUCCAGAAAAAAAAGGAAGGCUGGAGCCCCCAGGCGGGCCUUUGGGUUUCAGGAUGACCUGGGUUUGAGCCACUACUAGGACCAUGAGAUCCGGGUGUUGAGAAGGCCGUGCCUGGGAUCCGGAGGUUCGGGACAGCGCGGGCGGAAUGCAGGAACUUACCGACUGCGGCGCGGUGGGCGGCGCCCUCGGGCGGCCACGGUCAGGGCUCAGCAGGGAGGGAGCGGUGUACGCAGCGUGGCUACUCGGCCCGCGGAAGCCAGCGCAACAGCGGCGGUCACCAGUCGGACCCGGCUAACGAAAGAUCGGUGCGCAGGCGGUCGCUUUUGUCCGCCUGAUGGGCCCCAAAACUGGCUAUGGUUGAGGUGAUCGCAGGCCAGAGAGACGUGAGCAGUGAGCAGUGAGCGGCUGGCCUGGCCACCUCUCUUGGUUCUGGCUGCCUCUCGGUUCCCGGCCGCAGCGCGGCAGCUUUUUAUUUCGACAUCACUUCGCGGGGGGGGGGGGGAGCGCCACAGGGGGGCAGGAGGGUGCCCAGGCUCUGCGCCCUGUGUGCCGGGUCCAGCCGCUAGGCUGGCCAGGCUCGGGCCACUAGUCAGUCGAGGCGCUCACACCCGACAGGCCACUCCCGCCUUCUCAGGGCCACGCAAGCACUCCUGCUCUCAGGGAUGUAAUCUCAGAAAGCCUGGGAUGUCUCUCUCUUGAGACUCUCCCUCACAAGCAAGUACACAGACACCUGCCCCUCCUUCCAUACACACAUUGUGCACGUGCUGCCGCUGUGUAGAUGCUUGUGUCCCCAGAUAGGCGCUCUGUGGCACACAAACACUCGUGCACACACAGGUAUAAAGUACACACACACACACACCUACACACAGUCACACAAUUCCCUCACUUCCUGCACAUUUGGCGAGUGUUUUCCUACUUCCUUCCCCACAGAUGCCCGUUCCCAACUCAGCAGAAUUUAAGAAUGGAGUUUCUGGUGUGUCCUUGGCCCAUUACUGGCAAACCGUUUGCAUCAGAGAAUGGCACAAGUAGAGCAAGAGGCUUGUCCUUACCAGGGUAGGAGGAGACAGCCUGGUGGCAGUGUGAACCCUAAGGAGGAACCUGAGCUAGGUAGCAAUGAGAAUCCAUUCUUUAUGUACUACUUUAAGCCCUUCUGGGAAAUUCACAGAACCCCACAGACUUACUCUGUUUGGAAAGAUUAUUCGUCCUGGCGUGCCCCAUGCAGCGAGUGGGUCUGCCCCUCCCCUCCUGUGCCACCAGCUGUUUUGGGUCUUUCUGAAUCUGUGUAUGCACCCUCUGUAGGCAGUUCAGUUUAUGUGCCCCGUGGGCUAUGUAUUCACGAUGGGGAGCUCACAGGAGUGUUUGUGAAACUGAGAGUGUCCCUAAGCACCUGUAGUGGGUAGCUGGUCGCAGAAUGAAGGUUAGCGGAGUGUGACCCUGCACACGCAUGUAAGAACUCUCUGUGGAAUUGGAUGUAUGUCUCUGUGUCCAGAUAUCUGAGACAGGCCAUCAUCUUCAAGAAUCGUGAUAGGCAGACAGAGGGUGUCUCUAAGUAUGUCUCAAUCAGUGUGUUACCUUUGUGCAUUUGUGUUUGUAUCUAGACAUGCAUUUGUACAUGUGUCUUUAAUAAACCUGGCUAUCCAUGUAUAUUUCA